rnacentral:rRNA from 1 species
UACGUAGGGUGCAAGCGUUGUCCGGAAUUAUUGGGCGUAAAGAGCUUGUAGGCGGUUUGUCGCGUCUGCUGUGAAAUUUCGGGGCUCAACCCCGAACUUGCAGUGGGUACGGGCAGACUAGAGUGUGGUAGGGGAGACUGGAAUUCCUGGUGUAGCGGUGAAAUGCGCAGAUAUCAGGAGGAACACCGAUGGCGAAGGCAGGUCUCUGGGCCAUAACUGACGCUGAGAAGCGAAAGCGUGGGGAGCAAACGGG